AUUGAACGCUGGCGGCAGGACUAACACAUGCAAGUCGAGCGAGCGGCGGACGGGUGAGUAAUGUAUGGGGAUCUGCCCGAUAGAGGGGGAUAACUAAUGGAAACGGUGACUAAUACCGCAUACUAUCGGAUGAACCCAUAUGGGAUUAGCUAGUAGGUGGGGUAAAGGCUCACCUAGGCGACGAUUUCUAGCUGGUCUGAGAGGAUGAUCCGCCACACGUGGACGGAGACACGUUCCAGACUCCUACGGGAGGCAGCAGUGGGGAAUAUUGCACAAUGGUCGCAAGCCUGAGGCAGCCAUGCCGCGUGUGUGAAGAAGGCCUUCGGGUUGUAAAGCACUUUCAGCGAGGAGGCUUUACUCUCAGAAGAAGCACCGGCUAACUCCGUGCCAGCAGCCGCGGUAAUUC
rnacentral:rRNA from 1 species